rnacentral:rRNA from 1 species
AUACGUAGGUGGGCAAGCGUUGUCCGGAAUUAUUGGGUGUAAAGGGCGUGUAGGUGGAUUUUUAAGUCGUGUGUCUAAGGUGCGGGGCUCAACCCCGUAUAGGCGCAGGAAACUGGAAAUCUUGAGUGCAGGGGAGGAAAGUGGAAUUCCCAGUGUAGCGGUGAAAUGCGUAGAUAUUGGGAGGAACACCAGUGGCGAAGGCGACUUUCUGGACUGUGUCUGACACUGAGGCGCGAAAGCCAGGGGAGC